rnacentral:rRNA from 1 species
UACGUAGGGUGCAAGCGUUAAUCGGAAUUACUGGGCGUAAAGCGUGCGCAGGCGGUUAUGUAAGACAGGGGUGAAAUCCCCGGGCUUAACCUGGGAACUGCAUUUGUGACUGCAUAGCUAGAGUACGGUAGAGGGGGAUGGGAUUCCGCGUGUAGCAGUGAAAUGCGUAGAUAUGCGAAGGAACACCGAUGGCGAAGGCAAUCCCCUGGACCUGUACUGACGCUCAUGCACGAAAGCGUGGGGAGCAAACAGG